CAGAUAUUACCACAUUUAUCAACCCCCAAAAAAUUAUGAUCUGAAAAUAGUAUAUUUCUUUUGGGCCGGUUUUUGUUAGGUUGAGCCGCAGUCCGGUCGCCGGGACAUGUCCGAGCCCAAAAAGUUAUUUCGUUUUUUUUCUGCCUAAAACUGCCUUUCAGCUCUGCAGUGCCGUCGCCGAGACAUGUCCGAGCGCCAAAAGCUGUUUUGUUUUUUUUUUUUUCUGCCCAAAACUGUCUGCUGCUGUCGACGUCAGCAGAGAAUUCGGAGCAGCGUAGAAAUUACCCUCCCUUUCUGUGUCUUAUAAUCUGGCUGCCCGCGGCGCUCAGAGAGCAACCUUCGGCUGGUCCUUUUUUUUGCGUCUCUCCGUUAUGUUCAGAACGAAACCAAAAGAAAAAGAAGACCUAGUGAAUUCUGUUUGAUUUAUGAAAAGAGAAGCAGCGGCUGUUUAAAUUGUGCGCUGCGAUACAUUUUAAUUUAUUAAUAAAAGUGAUAUUUUAUGAAAAAAAAUUAAGUCAGAUUUUAAAACAUAACCCAGAAGAUUCUAGUUCCGUUACCCGAAAGUGGCGUGAUGAAAUCCCUCAACGGGUUUUACACAGUUUGAAAAGGAGCGAUAUCCAGGGAAAGCUAUGAAAAACAUUAAAAACAAAUUAUCUAAAAAAACACAUAGAUUUAAAUGAUACAAUUUAAAUAAAAUAUAGUGAAAAGUAAA